rnacentral:lncRNA from 1 species
GUGGGGGUGGUGGCGGCGGUGCACGUGGAGGAGAAAAUGAUGAUUUUACCAAUGAGGGGGGUGGUGGCGGUGGUGGUGGUGGUGAAGAUCGAACUUUCUUUGGCGGGGAAAAAAUUUCAUACGCAGUAAACGACUGUGUAGAAUUUGCAAAAGGUGCUCGUGGCAGUGCUGGUGGAGGUGGCGGAGGAGGAGGCUGAGGUGGUGUAACCGUUUCUUUUCUGCUUACCAACGAGGGAGGUGGUGGCGGGGGCGGGGGUGGUGGUGAAGAUCGAACUGGUGGGGAAGAAAUUUCAUACGUAGUAAACGAUUGUGUAGCAUUUUCAAAAGGUGCUCGUGGCAGUGCUGGUGGAGGUGGCGGGGGUGGAGGCUGAGGUGGUGCAACCUUUUCUUUCCUGCUUGUCUCCUGUUCAUACACAGUGGC